AGAACGAACGCUGGCGGCAUGCCUAAUACAUGCAAGUCGAACGAACUCUUCGGAGUUAGUGGCGCACGGGUGCGUAACGCGUGGGAAUCUGCCCUUGGGUUCGGAAUAACAGUUGGAAACGACUGCUAAUACCGGAUGAUGACGAAAGUCCAAAGAUUUAUCGCCCAGGGAUGAGCCCGCGUAGGAUUAGCUAGUUGGUGAGGUAAAGGCUCACCAAGGCGACGAUCCUUAGCUGGUCUGAGAGGAUGAUCAGCCACACUGGGACUGAGACACGGCCCAGACUCCUACGGGAGGCAGCAGUAGGGAAUAUUGGACAAUGGGCGAAAGCCUGAUCCAGCAAUGCCGCGUGAGUGAUGAAGGCCUUAGGGUUGUAAAGCUCUUUUACCCGAGAUGAUAAUGACAGUAUCGGAGAAUAAGCCCCGGCUAACUCCGUGCCAGCAGCCGC
rnacentral:rRNA from 1 species